UGUGGAACAAGAGGCAAAUAUAAAUAGCAGUUGAAGUGAAAAGUCCAAGCUAUUUUGCAUGUACUUUUUAAUAAGGGUCAAUUUUAUUUCAAGCUCCUGGGAUGACCUUUAAAGUUUUCUUUAAGGUUUUCUAUAUGUUUCGGGACAGGAUGACAAGGAAAUGACAGGGGAGCUGACAGCUCUAUUAACUGCAGGAAAAGGAUGGGCGAGAGCUGUGUUGAAUCACCUCUGGAUAACAAGCUGGAUUUCAGAAUGCAGCCCCAAUUCUUGCAGGACAAAUCACGACGUGACAGGAAGAAUUAGAAAGGCACCCCUCAGGAGCACAUACAUUCCAGUUCCAUACCUUCUACAUGCUGGCCUGGAACCUCAGCUUUACAAAGCACAUGAACCUUUGACCAGGGUAAUUUCAGAUAAACUGCAACAACUGAAAACUUUGCAAAGCAAAAGCCCUCCUGCAUUCCAGGAGGUGAGAAAGUGUUCAGCACUAACACCUACACAAGUGACGAUCACCAGGAGGUUGGACUGAUUUGCAGUGACUUCUGCUCAUGGACCUUUUGGAUGCCUGAGUCGAACAGGAUGUUGCAAAUUAGAACCUGCUCACAACUUUGUCAAUGGAUUAGGACAAAACAAGCAGCGCACAUUUUAAGAAGACUGGAUAUUAUAUUAAUGACAAGUCCACCAGAGUAUGAACAAGCUGCUGCAGUUUAAUAAAAAGCAGAAUUUCCUAGACUCGCAUAAACUAUUAGCUCAUUGACUAAAAUAGACCUACUGUCUCUGUUUGCUGUAGAAGCCCAGCUGCUCUGCUGAUCUCAACAAAAGAACAAUUGCAGCUACAAUAAAAACCCUGGGAUCUUGAAAAACAUGGGACGAUAUCAGCUGUUAAACAGGAUAGAAAUAACACAGCAGUGAAACUAAUAAAUAAAUACAAACAGGUUCAAGGUGUUCUCUUCAGAAACACUGUCCUAUGGGUUAUAGAUCUGAAGAUUAGCUUUUAACAGUUCUGACAUACAAGGAACCCAUGCAAGCACUUACACAUCUCCCCUGUGUAAGUGCUUCAGUUCUUGUUCCUGGCUACAUAAAUCACAGGCAGGGUAAACGCAUUACGAGUAAAGAGAAGGAAAUAAUAUGAUCUCCUAGCAGACACUGGGAGCAACAGCUUUUCACUUACGUGCCAAAAUGCCACACAGCUAUUAGUAUGGAACAAGAUACGCCUUCUUUUAGAAACAGUCUAUAGCAAAUUCACAUUUUAUCUACUAAAUCCUUGGCUUCUUACAGUCUUUUAGCACAUUUCUCCUAAUAACAUCCCUCUCAAGACUAGACCGUGCUUUUCUGCUUU